rnacentral:piRNA from 1 species
UUCUCAAGGCCUCUAUGAAGUGCCUCACGGC